UACGAGUGCUCCAAGCGUUAUCCGGAAUUAUUGGGCGUAAAGGGUGUGUAGGUGGUUGUGUUAGUCUUCUGUUAAAUUCUUCGGCUUAACCGGGGGCAUGCGGAGGAAACGGCACAACUAGAGGAUGCGAGAGGUGAAUGGAACUCAUGGAGUAGGGGUGAAAUCCGUUGAUAUCAUGGGGAACACCAAAUGCGAAGGCAAUUCACUGGCGCACUCCUGACACUGAGACACGAAAGCGUAGGUAGCGAAUGGG
rnacentral:rRNA from 1 species